CGCCGCAUGCCACAUUCACAGUGAAGUCGCUUGCGGCUUCGUAGAUAAUUUAAGGAAACCUAUGAUAUAAGAUAAUUUAAGGAAACCUAUGAUAUAAGGAAACAUAGUGUAAUAAAGAAUGUGUAAGUUUUAGGUAGUGAAGAUGGGGACAGAGCUGCAGAGUGGUGUUGGCUGCUCGAUGUUUACAGACAGGAGUGUCAGCUCAGCGUAUCGUAAUAUCACUACACGUGCAUCUUUGACGAGUCAACAUGUAUGGCAGGGCCAGCAGCCGGAAAAUGCUUACGCGGGGACACUCAUGUAAGAGACCUCCUCGGGAGGGCAGAAAGUGACGCGCCCUCGUCGUGGUCAGACCUCUGGCGAAAAGUUGUACUUCCCGUCUACCUCUCUAAGGCCUAGAAUACGUUUGACCGAAAAACGAAUAAAUGUGAUUCGCGUCAACGUA